AAAACGGCCCUUUUCAGGGCCACCCAAAAUCUCAAAAAAGAGGGAA
rfam:Lottia gigantea unplaced genomic scaffold LOTGIsca_829, whole genome shotgun sequence.